rnacentral:lncRNA from 1 species
ACACACUAACCAGAUCUUGCGCUAGAUUUCCACCGACAUACCUUUCUGCGGAAGUAUGGAGUGAAAUGAUAGAAAUUUGGUUAAAAGAAGAUUGGAAAAAAAGAUCCGAAAAAGCAUCAGAAAAUAGGAAAAACAAUCCAGAUUACAUGCCAUACACGGGUGGAUCUUGUUCAGUUGCGGCCACUCAUGAAAGAAUGGUAAAAAAACAUUUCUUUCAUAUAUUUUACAUUUAUCAUUCUAAUUUUUUUGUGUAUAACAAUCAGAAUGAAGAAGCUGGUUAUGAAGUCGGUCACUGUGAGGUUUAUAAAAAAACACAUAGUUUGGCUAAGACAAACGACUGGGCUCAUCCAAAG